CGGAAGUGAGGUCACGCAGGCGCCGGGGUCUCUUCCGCCGCUGGUCUGGUUUCGCUUUGGCUGGGGAAAAGAGCUUCAUCCGCCGAGUUGGUAGAUUCUGGCGGUGUCCUCGCGUCCUCACGGACCACGCGGUUCCGGCGCACUCGGGUAGGAUCAAUUAAUGACUCAGGAAUCUUUGUGAAGCAUCAUUCAUCUAUUUUCCUACAGGCAAGAAGUCAUGUUGAAUGGGAACUCUUUGUGAGUAGUGUCAGAAAGACUUGAGUGAAUGCUCAUACCUUUAGACACAGGAGAACUCAGAAUGGAGGGAACACUUUCGAGGGUAAGGAAUAUGGAAAAGGCUUCCUUUCUCUGCAGGAGAAACCCUGUAUGGAGACAGACUUCCUGGGUUUAAACAACACAGAAAAAACCAUCUGACUCCAAAUAUUUUGGACUGGAAAACCAACACCCAAGAGAAAACCUUCACAUGCAGUGACAGUGGGGAUGCCUUCCGUGAUCCGUCUUAUUUCAAAGGACAAAUGACAACUCAUGAGGGAGAAGAAGAAAACUAAAAGCAA